rnacentral:rRNA from 1 species
AUUGAACGCUGGCGGCAUGCCUUACACAUGCAAGUCGAACGGCAGCACGGGUGCUUGCACCUGGUGGCGAGUGGCGAACGGGUGAGUAAUACAUCGGAACAUGUCCUGUAGUGGGGGAUAGCCCGGCGAAAGCCGGAUUAAUACCGCAUACGAUCCACGGAUGAAAGCGGGGGACCUUCGGGCCUCGCGCUAUAGGGUUGGCCGAUGGCUGAUUAGCUAGUUGGUGGGGUAAAGGCCUACCAAGGCGACGAUCAGUAGCUGGUCUGAGAGGACGACCAGCCACACUGGGACUGAGACACGGCCCAGACUCCUACGGGAGGCAGCAGUGGGGAAUUUUGGACAAUGGGCGAAAGCCUGAUCCAGCAAUGCCGCGUGUGUGAAGAAGGCCUUCGGGUUGUAAAGCACUUUUGUCCGGAAAGAAAUCCUUGACUCUAAUACAGUCGGGGGAUGACGGUACCGGAAGAAUAAACACCGGCUAACUACGU